rnacentral:rRNA from 1 species
UACAGAGGGUGCGAGCGUUGUCCGGAAUCACUGGGCGUAAAGGGCGCGUAGGCGGUCUGCUAAGCGUGCGGUGAAAGCCCGGGGCUCAACCCCGGGUCGGCCGUGCGAACUGGUGGACUGGAGCUUGUCAGAGGCAGGCGGAAUUCCGGGUGUAGCGGUGGAAUGCGUAGAUAUUCGCAAGAACACCAGUGGCGAAGGCGGCUCACUGGCCCGAUACUGACGCUGAGGCACGAAAGCGUGGGGAGCAAACAGGG